GAUGAACGCUGGCGGCGUGCUUAACACAUGCAAGUCGAACGAAGCAUUUAGGACAGAUUACUUCGGUUUGAAGUUCUUUAUGACUGAGUGGCGGACGGGUGAGUAACGCGUGGGUAACCUGCCUUGUACUGGGGGAUAGCAGCUGGAAACGGCUGGUAAUACCGCAUAAGCGCAUAAUGUUGCAUGACAUGGUGUGAAAAACUCCGGUGGUAUAAGAUGGACCCGCGUCUGAUUAGCGAGUUGGUGAGAUAACAGCCCACCAAGGCGACGAUCAGUAGCCGACCUGAGAGGGUGACCGGCCACAUUGGGACUGAGACACGGCCCAGACUCCUACGGGAGGCAGCAGUGGGGAAUAUUGCACAAUGGAGGAAACUCUGAUGCAGCGACGCCGCGUGAGUGAAGAAGUAAUUCGUUAUGUAAAGCUCUAUCAGCAGGGAAGAUAGUGACGGUACCUGACUAAGAAGCUCCGGCUAAAUACGU
rnacentral:rRNA from 1 species